AUUCCCUUUCGCCCGGUGAUGGACGAUAAUACGCCCCCGGUUUAUAACCGGGAAUCCAGGAGAAGUCAUGUAU
rfam:Dickeya zeae Ech1591, complete genome.